rnacentral:lncRNA from 1 species
UGGUGCACGUUGUGUGGAUGUUGCUAGAGCCUUCUUGAACUCCACCCUUCCCUAGGCAUGGCAGGUGGGAGAACUCCUCUCGCAGGGACCUAGAGCACAUCAGUCCCUGCAGCGCUGGUGGCCAGAGACAGAGAUUCUUGCCGAUGCCAGCAGUGGUUCCGUCUCCCUGUGUCAGUGGUGUGUGACACGCUCUCUACAGGUGGCAUAUCUAGGGGCACCUGCUGCUCUCCAGCGGAGCUUGCCUUAUAACCUCCUUUCUAUCAUUUCUUGGUAGAAACUGUGCUUAACCUGGUAAUGAAUGUUGGAUAAAGGGCUGCUGGCAGGGUGAUAGCA